CGGCGGACGCGGUGAGUAACGCGUGGGUAACCUGCCCUAGAGAUCGGGAUAACAGCGGGAAACUGCUGCUAAUACCGGAUGUCUCUACGAGAAGGCAUCUUUUAGUAGAGAAAGCGAUAGCGCUCUAGGAUGGGCCCGCGUCCCAUUAGCUAGUUGGUGAGGUAACGGCUCACCAAGGCGACGAUGGGUAGCCGGCCUGAGAGGGUGGACGGCCACACUGGGACUGAGACACGGCCCAGACUCCUACGGGAGGCAGCAGUAGGGAAUAUUGCGCAAUGGAGGAAACUCUGACGCAGCGACGCCGCGUGAGCGAUGAAGGUUUUCGGAUCGUAAAGCUCUGUCCUUGGGGAAGAAGGUCUUCGGACUUGACGGUACCCAAGAAGAAAGCCCCGGCUAACUACGUGCCAGCAGCCGCGGUAAUACGUAGGGGGCAAGCGUUGUCCGGAAUUAUUGGGCGUAAAGGGUGCGUAGGCGGCCUUUUAAGUCAGAUGUGAAAGCCCGCGGCUUAACUGCGGGAUUGCAUUUGAAACUGGGAGGCUUGAGUAUCGGAGAGGGUAGUGGAAUUCCCAGUGUAGCGGUGAAAUGCGUAGAUAUUGGGAGGAACACCAGUGGCGAAGGCGAC
rnacentral:rRNA from 1 species